AAUCAUAGUGGAUAAAGCUAUAAUGCAAAUGCAGAGAUACAAACACUUUUCUCCUGAUUUCAUCAUUUAUCAUAUGUAUGUGUUUUAUGAACUAUUAGCAUAAUUUUUAGUUAACUAGUCAGACCAAGACCUGAACCCCUCCUGUAAAACUGAAAUUGUAGGAUGAUUAGGAUCCAGAUUCAGUUCUGAAUACAGUUGCUUUACUGUAUGAAUUAUAUGCUUAUAUAUAUAUAUAUACACAAACAUUGUGUGCGUGUUCUGCAAAGGCUCCCAAACUAUUUGACUUCUCAGGACCAAUCUUGGCCUGGAGUCUUCCUGUGGCCUUCCAGGGCCCACGGUCCUGGAGUUAAUAUCAUCCCAGAGGAUGAGGUAUUUUGGAAUGGCAAUGAAAAUGCCUUCAUUUAAAACCAUCAGAAUGAUGUUUGAAUUUAAGAUGAUGUCAUAGCGAUACUGGCAUUAUGUCACCAGUUACGUGGCAAUGUAUGACAUCAUAAAAUGCUUCUGUUGUAUGAUGUCAUGCAGAUGUAACAGUGAACAUCAUCACUAUAACAGCAUGUUGCCACUAUAGUGACAUCAUCAUGACAUUAUAAACUGACUAAAUGAAUUGAUAAAAUUGGACAUGAAAAGCCUAUGGAUUACAAAUUAUAACAAAUUGUAUGACAUCGUUGCAACAUAAUCUAGGAUGUCACAAAAUGAAGUUGUCAUGAGAUGUCAUGAUGAUUCAACAAUGAAGUCACAGCCACAACUACAUAAUGUAAUCAUGAUCAGCCAACUGAUUCCAAGUAUCAUAAUAAAUGAAUUAUGUGGAAGAAUGAUUUUGUUUGAAUUCGGAAUGUUGUCACAAGAUCCCACGACAUCAUCAUGGCAUAACAGAUGCCACAUAAUAUUGAUAAAUGAUCUCGCUAUUUUAUAUUUUAAGAAAUUCAGAAAGAACCAAUAAUUUCUAAGAGUUUUAAUUCAAUUAUUCUGAUGGUAAAUAUAACAUUUCAAUAAAUAUGAAAUUUAAAAUAACAAUUGAAAAUAAUGCAUGAAAUAAUUCAUUUAAAAAAAUUCUUCAUGGGGACAAUACAAU
rnacentral:lncRNA from 1 species